UAAACAAAAAAAGAUAAAUAAUAUUAUUUACAAAUAUUUAUAGAAUAAAUAUACAAAAUGAAAUAACAUCAUAAAUUUACCUAGUUGCGUAGGGGAAGGAGUAGACGUUAGGAUUUUCGGGGGCUAGCCUCGGCAAUCUCCACCACCCCCAUGUUUGGAGCAAAAAAGCACAUCCAGAAAAUGUACAGUGGUCAUUUUGUGCAUUUUUACACAAAGAGCUAUAUAGGAAAGCC
rnacentral:lncRNA from 1 species